rnacentral:rRNA from 1 species
UGGCCAGAGACCGAUAGCGCACAAGUAGAGUGAUCGAAAGAUGAAAAGCACUUUGGAAAGAGAGUUAAACAGUACGUGAAAUUGUUGAAAGGGAAGCGCUUGCAACCAGACUUGCCUGCCGUCGAUCAUCCUCCGUUCUCGGUGGUGCACUCGGCGGUGGUCAGGCCAGCAUCGGUUUCGGUGGUGGGAUAAAGACCUUGGGAAUGUAGCUGCUCUCGGGCAGUGUUAUAGCCCUCGGUGCAAUGCCGCCUACCGGGACCGAGGACCGCGCUUCGGCUAGGAUGCUGG